UAAAAACAUAGCGGCGUUGGCUGUUCAAGUCACAUACAAUACAUACACUUCUCAUACAAAUUAUCCUUGUAUGUCACAUUUUUAUUAGUAAUAUAUUAUUGUGUCUAGGGUGCAGUGGUUUUACCAGUAUGAACGUAUUAAAAUAUUAAACAAUCCAAUUGGUUCGCGCGUGUUAAUGCUGUUGUGAAUUUGUUGUUAUUGUAUGAUCAAUUGUAUUAUGUUAGUGCAAAAAAAUGAGGUGAUUGGUUGGAUCGAUAUUCUGGCUAGUUCUUUUUUCAAAAACAUUUGACAGAAUACCCGAACGCAGAAUACGAUGGAUAUACAAAUAACCAGUACGACCUCAGUGUGGAGACUGGAGUUCCAGUGCAGGAGUACGAACACCCUGUGCCAGCAGCAAUGGCUGCUGAGUUUCAGCAUGGUCACCAGAACUGUCAGGUGAUUGCACAUACCCCAGGCGUGGUGUAUGACCACAUACACACGUAUUCCCAACAGGACCUCAUGAUGCAAACAUUAGCACCACCGUCAUACGAAGAAGCAAUCAAGAGUGAUCCCCCUUCUGCGACAGUUUACCAUUCUAGCUGCGACCCACCGACUGAUACAAACAACACAACGGUGGAAUAAAACUGACAUAAUUAUUUUAAUUAUUUUUUUUUAUACUACUUA